UAGUUUUUUCUGGUCUAGUCAACGUCUGUGAUUUAUCCAAAGCUGGUCCCGAGUGCACAGGAAAUAAUAUUCACAAUUGUGUGUGUGUGCGUGUGUGUGUGGACAUUGGAUGUGUGGAAUGGAUCUAGGUGUCAGCCCUGAAAGAGUACGAAAAUGUCUAUGAUGACAGCGACAGUGACCAUCCCCCUCAGAAUAACUCAGAUUUCUACAAUUCACGGACAUUUCCUACACUCAGUUCACAACGGCGACUUUCGGCUAAAGACGACUAAUUUGCACAUAUGAUAGAAUGUUGAAAUCUUCUAUACAUUGAACAACAGUAAAUUGUGUUUGCUUUGUGCUUUAUCUUAGUACAUGUGGAGAUAUACCAUUCGUAUAAGUGUUAUGGGAGUAAUUGGAUAAAAGCAGUGGAUAUGGAGGGAUAUGCAAACAGAUAGAGGGAUAUGCAAACACUCCAUCGUUUCGGGUGACACUAUGUAGCAGGCUAAUGAACUAAAUAUUAUACCAUAUAUACACCACAAUUUAUACUAUAUAAAAAUAUAUUAGUUAUACAAUAUGUGUUACAACAACCUUUAUUUAUACGGUUGAUGGUAUAUUUAUACCAUUACAGUGCUCCAUUGCUACAACACUUUACGCGACCUCGCUAUUAGACGAAUGUGCGUGUGCAUGUAAUUUUUUUAAAGUGUAGCAGGCUUUUCUUUCCAUCCUAUGAAUGUGCAUUGUGUUCUGUAUCCUGAUUCUAUAAGGGAAACCCCACAUUGCGUUCUUUGUCCCAAGUGACUAAGGGACUGUAGACUAUUGUCAACCACCCUACGUACCAAGAUGCAGCAGGGCUCGAUGGCCGCCCCCACAGCAUUUUGGCGCAUCAGCACAACACGUCAUGGCUCGGAAGAAAGCAAGAAUACAGUUAUGUGCUUUUUUUGUUUUUUAAGCUACAAAGGUUUGAAUUUUGAGUGUUUAAAUAAGAAAUGUUUGAAAAUGUUAAUGCCUAUCUGAAAAAAGUUCAAGUGUGUGGUUUAACACCCUUAAAACACAAGAAAUGAAAAAAAUAUACUGUAAACAAAAAAAAUAAGCAAAAUGAAAUGAAAAAAUUAUAAAUAAAAAUAUGCACUUUAAAUUAAAAAAAACAUCUGCUAAAUAAAAAAAAAUAUAUAAUGAACAAAAAAAAAAUAUUCCACUCAUUUAUCUAUGAUUCAGAUGUGCUAACUAAUCCUUACCGUGCCACCACAUAAACUGAUGGUCAAGGCUUUUACCUGAAAUAUGAUACCUAUAAUUGUUAUCACUGUUGUUGUUACAACUGAAAAAAAUAAGUGAGUUGUGGUAAUUUAACAAACUACUGGUAAUUCACAGUCACUGUGAUUUGACAAGCGCGUAUGUGGCCGCGCGCCAUGGCACUCAAAAAUCUGCACAGUUGAGCACGUAAAAAUCACGCGCGUAAAAUUUGUUACGAGUAGAAAUACAUAGAUAUCGAAAGACAUCGCUUAUUUUGUGUAAUCUUGAAAUUAAUUUAUGUGUUUGAACGUUGGCAAUAAAACAAGCUUGAUCCUAAACCAUCAGUAUUCACCCGGUAGCAGGAAAUACAAGUUAACCGUAACGAGCAUGUUCGGACGUUAUACUGUAGUACCAACAUUUCGAUAAUUGUAAUGGAGUAAAAGUAUGUUACUUUUUAGCAGCUUUGACGGACAGUGUUUUGAAAGCCUACAGAGACAUUUGUGCCACUACUAUCCCAAAACCAGCCAUGAAAGAACCGGGGCUUGCUCCCAUCGCCACUGCAUUUGAAAGAACCUGCUGACCCUAUGGGAAGCCCCAGCAAAGUCCAGCAGAUUGCACCGCGGUGAGCCAAUAAAUAUUGGCUUCAGCACUGCUCCAAGAUCCAGACUGCAGCUGAUACUGGCAACAUCAGCGGGAUGUAUGAUGGCAUGAAGCAAACUCGUCACAUUAUACAAGAACAAAGGGAGGAAAAACAAUGUGUUGACCUGCUGUGACUGACCUUGGGCGCGAUGAGAUACAAUGUGUGGAGAGACAGGUAAGGCUGGAAGUGUAUGCUUUCAGAUGCUGUAUAUGCUGUUUUUAUUUUGUUAAAAUGUCAGUUGACACUUCAGGGGAUGUAACUUGUUCGACAAAAGACACAAAAAAGCUCUACUGUAUAAAGGACAAUUGCGAGUCAUAUGUUUAGUAUUACUACACUGCAUGCACAAAGCAGCAUGCUAUGCAGAUUUUAUGCACAUGGUAGUGUUUAUGAUACCUGAAAGAGUCCCUUCUCGCUAGUCAAAGCCCACUUGCCAACAUUCUUUGCAUAUGGUGUCCAAUUACAGGUAAUCAUCAACCAUCUAGAAUUAUCCCAACAUUAACACAUUAAUGAAAGUUCCGCUUCAGGAUCGCAUUAUGCAAGCUUGCAAAAACACAUCAAGCCCGAUGGUACUACACAAUGCUAAAAGUAAAUCUCACUUUCAUAUUCAAAAGUCUCACAUUUCCGAUAGUAAUAGAGUGGACUCAAUGGUCAAUUAAGAAAAGAUGCAAUACGAUACAGCAAUCUGAAAGCAACCACAGUUUGCAGCUUCCCCUGAUACCUUGAGGCAACACAAACCCCAGACAAGCUCCAGUGGGUCUCACGCCAUAUGGCCAAAGAAGAAAAAAAUUCAACACUAAUAGGCUGUUUUCCCCCUAUUCAUCAGUUUCAAUCUCACCCAUUUUCUUCAUGUCCAAGCUCAUGUUGUGGCUGUAAGGACUAAUGAGGAUGGCGGAGGAGAAGGAGCUUUGCAGAAUGGCCCUUUGUUUAAAACCAUCCUCUGCAGUGGUGGAAAUGAGAGACGCUUAUCGAUCAUUUCAACUGUUAGCCUUUUGUGUGGCAAGCUCCUGGGCAAACCCACGCCAAAGGACGGAUUUCAACGUUAUACAAAACUACUAACG